rnacentral:rRNA from 1 species
CAAGUCGAGUGCGCGGUUGUAGCAAUACAACUGGCGCACGGCGCACGGGUGCGUAACACGUGGGCAAUCUGCCCUUCGAUGGGGAAUAUCUUCGGGAAACCGAAGCGAAUUCCGCAUAACACUCCUUGGACUUCGGUUCGAGGACUCAAAGCCGCAAGGCGUCGAAGGAGGAGCCCGCGCCCGAUUAGCUAGUUGGUAGGGUAACGGCCUACCAAGGCAAUGAUCGGUAGCUGGUCUGAGAGGAUGGCCAGCCACACUGGAACUGAGACACGGUCCAGACUCCUACGGGAGGCAGCAGUGGGGAAUCUUGCACAAUGGGCGAAAGCCUGAUGCAGCGACGCCGCGUGGGGGAUGAAGCAUCUCGGUGUGUAAACCCCUUUCGACCCGGAAGAAUGCCUCGCAAGAGGAGUGACGGUACGGGUAUAAGAAGCCCCGGCUAACUACGUGCCAGCAGCCGCGGUAAGACGUAGGGGGCCAGCGUUGUUCGGAAUUACUGGGUGUAAAGGGUUCGUAGGCGGUGCGGCAAGUUGGGAGUGAAAUCUCUGGGCUCAACCCAGAGGCUGCUUCCAAAACUGCUGUGCUUGAGUGUGGGAGAGGCGCGUGGAAUUGCAGGUGUAGCGGUGAAAUGCGUAGAUAUCUGCAGGAACACCCGUGGCGAAAGCGGCGCGCUGGACCACUACUGACGCUGAGGAACGAAAGCUAGGGGAGCAAACAGGAUUAGAUACCCUGGUAGUCCUAGCCCUAAACGAUCAGGAACUUGGGGUGCCACCCGUUCGGGUGUCGUCCCGGAGCUAACGCGUUAAGUCCUGCACCUGGGGAGUACGGUCGCAAGACUGAAACUCAAAGGAAUUGACGGGGGCCCGCACAAGCGGUGGAACAUGUGGUUCAAUUCGACGCUACGCGAGGAACCUUACCUGGGCUCGAA